rnacentral:rRNA from 1 species
GAACGCUGGCGGCGUGCCUAACACAUGCAAGUCGAACGGAAGUUUUCUUCGGAGAAACUUUAGUGGCGAACGGGUGAGUAACGCGUGAGAAACCUGCCUUUCAGUGGGGGACAACAGUUGGAAACGACUGCUAAUACCGCAUAAUGUUAUUUGAGGGCAUCCUCGAAUACCAAAGCUUAAUGUGCUGAAAGAUGGUCUCGCGUCUGAUUAGCUAGAUGGCGGGGUAACGGCCCACCAUGGCGACGAUCAGUAGCCGGUCUGAGAGGAUGAACGGCCACAUUGGGACUGAGAUACGGCCCAGACUCCUACGGGAGGCAGCAGUGAGGAAUAUUGGUCAAUGGGCGAGAGCCUGAACCAGCCAAGUCGCGUGAGGGAAGACGGUACUAAGUAUUGUAAACCUCUUUUGUCAGGGAACAAAGAGACCACGUGUGGUAAGAUGAGUGUACCUGAAGAAAAAGCAUCGGCUAACUCCGUG